rnacentral:rRNA from 1 species
UACGUAGGGUGCAAGCGUUGUCCGGAAUUACUGGGCGUAAAGCGUGCGCAGGCGGUUCGUCGUGUCCGAUGUGAAAGCCCCGGGCUCAACCUGGGAAUGGCAUUGGAAACUGGCGGACUCGAGUGUGGCAGAGGGGGGUGGAAUUCCUGGUGUAGCGGUGAAAUGCGUAGAUAUCAGGAGGAACACCGGUGGCGAAAGCGGCUCACUGGACCACAACUGACGCUGAGGCGCGAAAGCUAGGGGAGCAAACAGG